AAAUGUGUCAAUGUGUCUAGAUUAUUCACUAAAUUUUGAAGUCAUAUGAAACAUCACUAGAUGUGGGUUUCUGGCAUGAAUUAUUUUGAAGUCAUAUGAAACAUCUGGUCCAAUUUUGAAGUCAUAUGAAACAUCACUAGAUGUGGAUUAUUAACAUCAUUCACAUGUUUUUAUAAAAAGUUUUUUUUGCUAAUGAUAGUUGAUUAAUGAGUAGUCUUUAAUAACCUCAAUAUAUGUUAAAAAAGCAUGUAUUAAGAUAUAUAGAUGCUGAACUUGCAUGGCCCUUAAUUCCGGACCAUAGUAAUUAUGAUGCUGAACUUGCAUGGCCCUUAAUUCUGGACAACUUUGUUGAAUGGAUGAGAGCAAAGCAGAGAUAAACCAAGAACCGAUUGGUGCAUCGGUUCUCUGUCAUUAUCCAAGCUUAAAGAUUGUCUCAAACAACACACAUCAAAAGUGAGCAAUCAAUUUUCUUUUGUUUUUUUUUUUUCCCUUGAUUUUUGAUUGAAGGGAGGAGCUUUUCUUCUUUUCUGAAUAUACUAUUGUUAGAACCCACCCCCCUCACUGUUAGAAGUUAGUGAUGUGUUAUUGAUCUCUGUUUUGGUAAUGUCUCAGUACAUUUUAUUUGUCAUUAUUUAUGCAACUUGGUUUCAGUUUUA